UACAACAUAUUAAUGUUGACAACCGGCGCUGGCUGGUCACGCAAUUUCCCGGAUAACGGGAAAAAUUUCCCGCCGUCUUUCCGCCGUGUUGACACUGCAUUAAACGCAGAGUUUGCUUUACAAGUUGGAGAAGGAUGCUAUUGUUCAGCAAAUGGUAGAACAGAAAUAGAUACAUAAAGCGCACAAGUAUCAGGAAAGACCUCAAGUCCAGAAGCUGAGCCUCUCUUAGGAUAGUUACAGUGCAUACAAGGUGUCCAGAUUUAAAGCCUAUCUUCUAGCUGCAUGACAUCCAUUUAUUCCUUGCUGGGGAUAGGAUUGAUGACAUGGCACUGAGAAACUUUGCAUUGGUGGUUGCUACAUAAAGAAAAAAGUACCUAUGUUCAGGAAGACCACUAGAGUGAAUAUUUCCAAGAAUCAGGAUGACUCAGAGCGAAAAGACUAAAUCUUUCGCAAUCGACAUUAAGGCAUAUUCUGUUUAUUAAGCUUAGAGAGACGAAGUCUCCUUCACCUCUGUAACAGAUAUAUAUUCUUUGUUGGGGGAGGACUCACCUUUUCACUUUUUCUUUGAGUCUAUGCCCAGAAGAAUCAAGUUGCAAUAUGCUUUCUGUAAUCAUCAAAUCCAAUGAAUGGCAGACCAAGGACAACUACUGCAGUGGAAGAGAAUAAUUGCCAACUACUUGUUGAUUGAAGGCAGUGGGACCACCAAACUAUGAAUGAAUAAGUUUUUCAUUCAAUUAUAUCAAGCUUCAUGGCAGGAAAGAAACUGAAGAAAGCAUAAAGUUGAGCCUGGACUCGAACACUGUUAUAACUGAAGUCAUGCAGAGCAUUAAUUCACCUACAGUUUAAAGCGUCUUUUGCAAUUCCAAUUUUUGUGGCUGGACUUGAUUCUAUGUCCUGGUAUACUUUACUAGAGUCUAUACUUCUUGUCUUACACAUUAAAGCUUUUUGGUCUGACCCUUUUUGGCUUUAGCUUCAUCUUAACACCCUUUUGUCAUCUCCCUUUUCCUUUAACUUCAGCUCUAAUAAUUUUUUAACUUAAACUUUUUGCAGUUCUUUAAAUGCUCGUAUAUAAAUUCUGACUUUGUUUUAGGUUUAUCUAUGGAUUAAGGAAUUAUCGCUGUUGUAAGUAUGCAUGUGAUUUACAACAAUGUACGUGAUAGAGUUAAAAAAGUAUGUGCACAAUUACUGCCAAUACAAAUGUGAUGACCACCCAAAUUCAGUAGUUUAGCGUCUCUAAUAUUUCUGGAAAUAUCUGUCGGACCCUUUGGUGAAAUUGCAAAUGAAGCAUGGGGACAACUAUUCAAUAGAAAAUGAAAAAAACCUGCUUAUGAUCAUAGAAACACUAAGCACUCAAAAUGUUGACAGAACUAGGGGUUUGGCUUCAAUAGAUGAUUCAAUCAGAUACAAUAGUUCUUACUAGGCCUGAUUGUACACCUAAAUAUCUCUUUGUAGACAUGUUGGAUAAGCAUCAUAUUGUAGAAGGUGUAAAAUUUUAUAGAUUCCAACAUAUUUGAAGUAUGCAUUUGAAUUCACAAUUUGUGUUCGAGUGUCUUCACCUGUUCUUUAUGUGCUUACCUGAUAGAGAAAAAGGCAUUGAUGUCCAGCGAAUGGCAAUGCAGAAAGAGAUAAUUUGUGAUGGAUCUGCAAUGGUCUUAAAGCAAAAAGGUAGAGGCAUGUCUGAUGGUAUAUGUGGUACAUGCCAGGUACCAAGGUCUGGAAUCACAAAGUUUUCUACAACCGUAAUUGCUUCAGUUGUCUUUUUCCAGAACUUCCUUUUGUUUCUUUUCUUUAUAUCUUAACAAUCACAAAAGCAUAAAGUUCCCAUGUUAUUCAACAUCUUGAUUUUUGGAAACUAACUCUGCCUGACCAGUGGAUAAUACCCUAGACUAGUCUAUUGUCCUCUGAUGAUCUAUUUAUUUGUUUCAGUUUUUAUGUUCCUCAUCUGUUGAAGACAAGUUGAAUUUGGAUCUACUUCACUAAUUCCCAGACUCUUUGCCAAGCUUUUCAAUUAUCAUGAAUUUCUUGCUGUUGUUGUUUGGUAUCCCUUGCUUUACCAUUUAUGAAUGAAGUGUUACUGGUGGUUUUCACCAGGUGGAGAGGUGCUUGCUGUUUCGCAUUAGUGGAGCAACAAAAAAUGGUUCAUAAUUUCGAGAAAUGAUAGGAUUUAAUUAAGAUUUCUUUCUACAAAUAAAGUGUAGUAUAAGUGACAAGCCAAAUAUUUCAAUAUAUGGGUUUGUCACUCAAAACUUAGAUCCUCACUGUUAGAUUACCACAUUAUCUUAUUUCUUUGAUCAGUUUUUUUUGGGUGCUGAAAAUUCUCUUAUCCAGUGAAUGUUGUAAUAGGAUCUAAUUUUUAACGUUACUUCAAACCAUUCAUAGCUUCAAGUAGAGUAGUGAGGAACGAUUACUGAUUAAAUAGGUACAGUUAUCAAGCAGGAUCUUAAAGAUAAAUUGCUGAGCCAUUUUCUAGCUGACAAUCUUGGAAAGUAACAAGGAUAUAAAUUUUGCUACCAAAACAAGCCCACACCUCUCUGAUAGCUUUAUUGAGGUAGAAUGUGAGGUAGAAAGUGCCUGUUUGCUUUGUUUUACAAUUAAAUGCCACAAAAGUGUAAAGUGCAAUAUUCUUUUUAAAAGCAUCAUCGGCAUUUUAAGGUGAACCUCAAUUUCAAGGCUACUGACUUAGUUGCCUAUUUGUCUAUAUCAAUGUCUGUGAUUUAUAUUGCAAUCAAUUAAGCAUCCAUGCUCUCUGAUGAAUGAGACAUAGGUAGUGCAAAACUUUGAGAUGAUAUUUGCAUUUUUUUUAACCGCUGCAAUACUGGGAACUGGGACAUGGCAAGCAGUGGGUAAUCAACUUUGGAUGCCUCCCCUGCUAGUGUCCAGGAAACAAAAAAAUGGGCGGGGAGAAGGGGGCUUGUUUGGAUGUUAAUUCCACCCAUAUUAUGAGUAAGAGUUCAAUUACUGUUGCCUGAUUAAGCAUAGAAUGCAAGUAGGGGUUUUGGGUUCUAAUUUUCAAGCCAGGAAAUAUCUCCACCUACUUUUCCCUUUCAUUUUUAAGACGUGGACCUAAUAUUCUGCUUAUCUUUUGCCUUGGGCCAGUGAGUACUAAUAUAGAAUCUGGGACCAACUUGCAGGAAUUGAUGAUAAAGGUGUUAUUUUGGAAGGAAUGAGGUCUAUAGGAAGCUGAUUGUGCUUGCUUUCAUUACAACAUUGCAGCAGACUAAAAAGUUUUUAAGCUUUCUGAGAGCCCAAGGUUUUUAGCUGUAAAGGUUCUUCAUCUGUUUCCUGUGGCUAGACUUGCUCCCGUCGUUAUUGUGAAGCCUUUAUACUAUGGACACUUAAACUUAUUCUAGUCUGACUCUAGUUUUCCUUAUUUAUGUAUGGUUUUUUGUUUCAGAAUUAAGUGUAACUAAUGUACCUCAUGGGAAAUGUGUUUGCACCAAAAAAGCAAUAGUGCUAAUAAUAAGAGCAUGUAUCCUGGAUUACUCAAAAGCUGUAGGCACUGAGGAAGGCAAUAU